CUUAUAAACCCACCAUCCCUGCCUCCUUCGCCAGGGCAAGUAUCGGCCUACCCUAGGGGGGCUGUUCGGAUGAUCCGAAAUGGAGAUAAUCCUACCGGAGGCCGAUAGGAAUGGGUGGUUGGGAAUGCAGGUUCCAUUUUUUGUAUCUUCCAGCGGCCAUGGAAGGCGGAGAACUUUCCCACCCCCCCCAUUCCUAUUGGUCCCAGGGGUUUCUCCCUUUCUCUUCGUGCUGGAAAUGAAAUCAAUAGUCUGUGCAGUGGGAAUUGAUGCUCCUCCCUGUCCCCCACACUAUCACCUCUCAAUUGAUUGCUGUGAGCUUCUCCUCAGUGACAGUUGUCUAUCUCUCUCCUCAGUCUCUUUCAUGAUUAGACACAUGGGGUCCUCUCUUUCUUGAUUCAGCAGAAAGAGUGAGAUGGCUUCAGCACAGCACUUCCAGGCAGAGAUUAAAAAACUUUAGCUCAUAUCAAUAUAUCUGAGAAGAGAUCAAAACAAAACUAGGGUUAGGGUUGUUUGACCAUCAUCUCAAUGACUUUGCAAUAGCAAUGAGGAGUUUCUACAAAGAGAUCAAGGGGAUGGAUGUGAAGGAACUGCCUGCGCACAUGAAGCCAAUGCUCUUUUUUGGUUACCUAAAGAAAAAGCCAUUCAGAGAGGCAUGGGAAACUACCUUGCCAAGUACACACAAAUGAAUUCCAUCGAUCCUCUUUACCAUGCAAGCUUCAUUGAGAUGAUAUUCUGUGUCCAUGUAGCAUUUUCCAGGGAAAUGACAUUAUGAUGAGCACCAGCAGAUGGCAGAGAGCACAGAGCUUAUUAAUCGCAUCCCUUGCCCUUUAGUUAAUGCAGGUAUUAAAUCUUAUAACGGUUAAUUUCUUUGUUUGAUGGGUAUUUCCUAUGGAUUGGUGAAGAUUUUUAUGAUCAUUGGUUCAGAUUGGGGGUAAAGUUCAUUUGAUUGGUGGUACUACUUGUAUGAAGGGUUGUUUUAAUGCAUUAGAGAUUUUGAUGCUUGCUUUCUAAAUUA